rnacentral:lncRNA from 1 species
GGGAGAGUUGCUGGCCCCUUCGGGGAACAUGCUGUUGGGGCUGGAGAGAAGGCAGAACUGCAGGAGCCGAGGAGACGGAGAGGGGAGACCGUGCCGAGGACAGCUGGGAGCACUUUUAAAGAGCGGAGAUGGGAGACAGAGUGGAAGCUGUGGAGUAGAUCGAGUGCAGAGUUUUCAAGAAAGACUUGCAGAAGCAGAAAUGGCUCACCCUCAGCCUGGAGCUUUUCAUGACUCUCCAGAAGAAAUGUCAACAGCCUUUUGUUUGGGUGAGCACGCCAAGACUAGCCCAGAGGACUCCUUUAGAUGCACUUGUGUGCCUGUCCUUCUGCACCAAGUCACACACAAGCCAGCUCUUCUGAUGCUCCAAAGCUGCCAUUGGCUCCUUGUAUAGCCUACAGAGCUAACUGUGCAUCGGCCUCCAUCCUGGGCAGGACUGAGGUCUCUUCAGUCUCCCUCUCCCCACUCAGCAGCCAAUCCAGGGCCAGGGCCUUUACAGUUUUACGUAAAUUUCAUCAGAACCCUUUGAUCCAACUAAAGUUUACUUCUCCCAGAUGUUGCAAAACAGCUAUCUUGGCUGCAUUUUUAAAAAUUGUCUUCCCAAUGUCCAGUGUAAUUCUUGGUACUCAAUAAAAAAAAAAAAAAAAAAAAAAA